rnacentral:tRNA from 1 species
GUGGUGGCUCAGUGGUAGAGUGCACUUCUAGCAUGCAUGAGGCACUGGGUUCGAUCCUCGGCACCACA